UUUAGCCCACGUGCUCCACAUGCACCGGUUAAACAACCGACAUGUUAAACUAAAUGAAAGUAUACCAAAACCCUGAUAAAAUACACACGAGACAAUAUCCCCAAUAUAACCAAAACCGAGCAUAAAAGAAUGACUUUUAAACAAAUACAACAAAUUAGUCGGAGCUCAACAGGAACCUACCUCUCCCAUGCACAGCUAGUGUGAAAAGGGAAGAGCAGGUGAACAGACAGGAAGUUACGCAAAACACCGUUCACAGAAUAUUUAAAGGGGAAGGCGCACGCAGACAGAAUAUCAGCCUCCAGUUCCGACUGAAGUGCGAUCGUUUCCUCAUCUGCACUCAGAGGUGAAAUUUUGUGAUAAAAGCCACAGAAUUCACUUAUUAGGCUAUCUGCAAGGCAGCUGACUGGACGGGCCUGACUGACAGGUGGGUGGGCCCAUGGUCCACCCGGCCCACCCUACGCGCCUGAUAUAUUGUGGAGUGAAUAAAGAAAAUGCAAUUGUCCUACCUUGCAGGACGAAGGAGAAGGCAGCACCAGAGAGCCCGAAGACAACAAAUAUAGAAACAGGUGGCAUUAUAUAGGCAAAUGUUGAAGGUGUUUUCCAAGCUCAUGAUGACAUCAGUAGAGUUGGGACUUGAGAGACUGUCUAUGAAAGACUGAAAUGAGAUGAUUUCAUCAGAUGCUAGUUCUUCAGAACAGCUUCUCUGGUGUUAGAUGCCUGCUGGGGUUGCCUAGAACUUUAGAUUGAUACUGGCAGAGGUUAUGCUUUUAUUUUACUUUAUUUUAUACAAGUAUAUUAAU